UUACCAAGUGCCCCCAACUCUUCCAGAAUCAACAUUUCUAAGAUGUACUACUCCAGUGGAGAGACCAACAGGGACAUUGUGAAGGCAGUGGCAGCUGACCAGGACCCUUUGUAGGUUGUGAUUUUAUAUUUCAAGAUUAGUCAAACUUCUCCCAGAUGCCUAGUAUUUUGCAGAUUACUUUGAAGGGGUCUUGCAGAUAAAGCUGAGAGAAGAGAGAAAGAGAUCCCCCCCCGUAUUGUUCUAUAUUGUUUUAUGCUCAGUACCUGUUUUAAGAAACAAGGAAGCAAAACCAAAGGCAGGCAGCCGGGUGCCAGGCACCAGACCCAAAACCAGGCCUGGGCCUGCCUGACCUUAGCCUGAUAGUUAAAAUUCAACCCAUGACCUAGCAACCGAUGUUAUCCGUAGAUUCCAGACAUUGUAUGGAAGGACAUUGUGAAACUUCUCGUUCUGUUGUUUCACUCUGAUUACCGGUGCAUGCAGCCCCUGUCACAUACCCCCUAGAUUGCUCAAUCGAUCACGGCCCUGUCAUGUAAAAUCUUUAGUGUUGUGAGCCCUUAAAAGGGACAGAAAUUGUGCACUCAACAAACUCGGAUUUUAAGACACUAGACUGUCGAUGCUUCCAACUGAUUAAAAGCUACUUCCUUCACUAUCUUGGUGUCUGUGGGGUUUUGUCCACGGCUCAUCCUGCUACAAGGCUACUAAUCUUCACGCAGCACAUCCCCACAUUUAAAACUUCAGUUAGGGUGGUCCUCAUAUUGACUCUAAGUGCCUCCUAAUACAAAUCUGUUUCCCUUUUCAGUCCCUAGAAGAAACAUAAUAGAGUGGGUCCAGUCCGUAUUUCAGGCAUGCCUACCACUUCAAAGCCUCUAGAAAAUUCCAUGCUUACAUCAAAUUUUUAUUGAGCACCAAAAAGGCACAAGAUACACAAGAGCAGAUGAAAUGGGUGCUGACAUUAAGAGACCUAAAUCUUUGAGGGAAAUAAAAUCAGUAAAAAUAAUCACAGAAUAAUAUGUGAAAGGCCUUAAAUGUGGUAUCAAACACCAAGGGGCCAAAGAAGGUUUCAGUAUCAGGGACUCGUGGAAGAUUCCCAAAAGAGAACGGAGUGGCCACAUGGAGGGACAUAUUCCAAGCAGAAAGAACAGUAUCGGAUGAAAAGAAUGGGGCAUAUGGAGUGAUAAACUAGUCUAGGUACUGGACUAAUUAGGAAAAAACAUGAAAUCCAGCCUACAAAAAGACUUUGUUUCUCAUUAAAUUUCAUAAUAUAAGAAGAAUGAAAUUUAGCUGUAUUUAUUAAAAAUGUCCUUUUAAAAAGCUUAGAAAAUGUUAUCUGUCAAAUUUUAGGGAUUUUCUUCUAUUGCUAUUUUGAGAAGGUAUCUUAAUGUUAAGAUGUUCAGAUUUCUAUUAAGAACAAAUGACCUCAUCCCGCUUCACAUUCUACCUCCCAGAGACACAUUUUUACAGGCUACCAAUUAUUUUAAAGUACAUUAUUCCUGAUUAUAACUAUUUCCUCAAUUCUAAGAUUUUUUUUUUUUUUGCAUUUCAGUAUUUCUGAAAUCAGAUGAUCUAAAAAUUAAUUAAUGAAGUAUUAUUUCUCUUCUCCCCCUGAAAAGCUAUGAUAAAAUCAAUGAUGUAUUUUAUAAUUGAUGGUAUCUUAACAUUAAGGCAAUAUAGUGAUGAGAAUAACUGUUGGCCUUCAGAACUCAAUUUUUCAGUAGUCAUAGUCCCUCAGGUGUCUUAGUUUCAGAGGAGAUUUCAAUAGAUUUUAUCAUGGAAUGGUGAACACCAUAAAGUCAGGCAAUGUCCCUAUCCUUGCUUGAAUCAGAGAGGGGAACUCUCACAACGGUUUUACAAACUUCAUAUCUCACCCAGUCACCUCCAAAUGUGCCCCUCCUAUCAUAGCCCUCCAUGUAACAAAAGGGAGAAGAGCUUUCUGAUGCUUAUGAAGUCCAGGGGUAUAACUCAUCUUUUGACAUCAACUGAUGUACACCACUGCCACACUGAUCUGGGCCACACUUGAGCAUUCUACACCAGGCAUCAGUCCUAACUUACCUGGAAUUUAAAUACCAGAUAGAGUG
rnacentral:lncRNA from 10 species